rnacentral:rRNA from 1 species
AGAACGAACGCUGGCGGCAGGCUUAACACAUGCAAGUCGAACGGGCACUUCGGUGUCAGUGGCAGACGGGUGAGUAACACGUGGGAACGUACCCUUUGGUUCGGGAUAACGCAGGGAAACUUGCGCUAAUACCGGAUACGCCCUUUUGGGGAAAGGUUUACUGCCGAAGGAUCGGCCCGCGUCCGAUUAGCUAGUUGGUGUUGGUAACGGCUCACCAAGGCGACGAUCGGUAGCUGGUCUGAGAGGAUGACCAGCCACAUUGGGACUGAGACACGGCCCAAACUCCUACGGGAGGCAGCAGUGGGGAAUAUUGGACAAUGGGCGCAAGCCUGAUCCAGCCAUGCCGCGUGAGUGAUGACGGCCUUAGGGUUGUAAAGCUCUUUCGCGCACGACGAUAAUGACGGUAGUGCGAGAAGAAGCCCGGCUAACUUCGUGCCAGCAGCCGC